rnacentral:rRNA from 1 species
UUUCCUACGGGACGCAGCAGUGGGGGAUAUUGCACAAUGGGGAAACCCUGAUGCAGCGACGCCGCGUGAGCGAUGAAGUAUUUCGGUAUGUAAAGCUCUAUCAGCAGGGAAGAAAAUGACGGUACCUGACUAAGAAGCCCCGGCUAACUACGUGCCAGCAGCCGCGGUAAUACGUAGCGGGCAAGCGUUAUCCGGAUUUACUGGGUGUAAAGGGAGCGUAGACGGCAGUGCAAGUCUGAAGUGAAAGCCCAGGGCUCAACCCUGGGACUGCUUUGGAAACUGUGGAGCUAGAGUGCUGGAGAGGG